GACGAACGCUGGCGGCGUGCUUAACACAUGCAAGUCGAACGGUGAAGGGGUCUGCUUUUGUGGGCCCUGGAUGAGUGGCGAACGGGUGAGUAACACGUGAGUAACCUGCCCCCUUCUUCUGGAUAACCGCAUGAAAGUGUGGCUAAUACGGGAUAUUCUGGGUCUGUCGCAUGAUGGGUCUGGGAAAGAUUGCGCCUUUGGGUGUUUUUGGUGGGGGAUGGGCUCGCGGCCUAUCAGCUUGUUGGUGGGGUGAUGGCCUACCAAGGCGGUGACGGGUAGCCGGCCUGAGAGGGUGGACGGUCACACUGGGACUGAGCCACGGCCCAGACUCCUACGGGAGGCAGCAGUGGGGAAUAUUGCACAAUGGGCGCAAGCCUGAUGCAGCGACGCCGCGUGAGGGAUGGAGGCCUUCGGGUUGUAAACCUCUUUCGCCAGUGAAGCAGGCCUGCUCCUUGUGGGUGGGUUGACGGUAGCUGGAUAAGAAGCGCCGGCUAACUACGUG
rnacentral:rRNA from 1 species